ensembl:lncRNA
AUUCUUAUACACUCAUUAACUGUGUAGUAGAUUAUACAUAUAAUAUAAUCUGUAACUUGUAUGGUGGAUUAAUAAGUGAUAAGUGAUGAUGUUUAUGUUUAUACUCUAUUUAGAUGAAGACUUUCAGCAUGAAGAUUGUUGUUCUACUUGGAUUUGUGAUGCUUCUCUCUAUUGCUUUGGCUGAGCAUGAGCAUGGCCAUCAGCAUGUCAUUGAGAAGCGCUCUUCAAGUGAAGAGCGUGUCCGUGGCCCUGGCCCUGGCCGUGGCUUUCCAAACUUUCUGCAGCAGUACCAGUACCAGUACCAGUACCAGCAGUACCUUCUGCUUCUGCAAAGACUUGGUCUUGUCCCAGCCCCUGCAGCACCAGCCCCAGCUCCAGCCCCAGCUCCAGCUCCAGCCCCAGCUCCUGCCCCAGCUCCAGCCCCAGCUCCUGCCCCAGCUCCAGCCCCAGCUCCAGCUGGUCGCUGAGAAAGGACAUGAAUCAGAAACUUCAACUCAACAAGAGCAAGCUAUGGUUGAUGAAAUGACCAGAACAUUAACUGACAAUAAGUACUGUAAUAGCUGUCUUCCAUAUUUUGCUUGAGUUUCCCUUUAAUUUACCUGCUGUCUGUCUGUCUGCAAUGCAAUAAAGAGGAUUUGAAAUGGCAUAUGUCCCUUCCUGCACACUAUCUGUUGCCUGAGAAAUGUCAUUUUGUAUUCAAACAUAUGUUCACAGUUUGUGCAUUUGUCAGUCAGAGUUAGUCAAAUCUGAGGAUUUAGCAUCUUGUUUUGCCGGAUGACAUUUCUUGAUAUAUUUAGUGAGGCUAAAUUGGUUGUGAACAAUAUUUGAGUUAUGUUUUAAACAAUUAAACAUGUUUUAAAUUGUAUUCACAUUAUGAGUAAAGUAGGUUACAGGAAGUCAGGUAGCCAAAUUCAAUGGUCAAACAUUUAAAUAUUUCAGUGGUUAAAAUCAUUGAAAGCCUUGACAUAAUACAGUAUAAUUUUACAUACAUUUAAUCAUUCAACUUAUUCCCACUCCACUGCUUAUUUUACCAGGCUGCUUACGAUGAGGAAGUAAAUGAGUCACUGGGUUACAGUUACUGUACCUGGAUACAGUACAGUAUCCAGGUAAAGUAACUGAUACAGUACAGUACAUAUUCUACCCACCACUGCGACCUGUAUGCUUUCGUUGGCUGGCCCUCGCUUCAUAUUCGUCGCCAAACCCACUGGCUCCAAGUCAUCUAUAAGUCUCUGCUAGGUACUCACUUAUCACCAUAGCAGCACACACCCGUAGCACGCGCUCCAGCAGGUAUAUUUCACUGGUCACCCCCAAAGCCAAUUCCUCCUUUGGCCGCCUUUCCUUCCAGUUCUCUGCUGCCAAUGACUGGGACAAAUUGCAAAAAUCACUGAAGCUGGAGACUCAUAUCUCCCUCUCUAACUUUAAGCACCAGCUGUCAGAGCAGCUCACAGAUCACUGCACCUGUACACCGUCCAUCUGUAAAUUGCCCAUCCAACUACCUCAUCCCCAUACUGUUAUAUAUUGUUUUGCUCCUUUGCACCAUCGUACUUCUACUUGCACAUUCAUCUUCUGCACAUCUAUCACUCCAAUGUUUAUUGCUAAAUUGUAACUAUUUUACCUCUGUAUAUAGACUUUUCUAUUGUGUUAUUGAUUGUAUGUUUGUUUAUUCCAUGUGUAACCCUGUGUUGUUGUUUGUGUUGCACUGUUUUGCUUAAUCUUGGCCACGUCACAGUUGUAAAUGAGAACUUAUUCUCAACUGGCCUACUUGGA